ACGCGAAGAACCUUACCAGGGCUUGACAUGCUGGUGGUACGGAUCCGAAAGGUGAAGGACCCUUCGGGGAGCCAGCACAGGUGCUGCAUGGCUGUCGUCAGCUCGUGCCGUGAGGUGUUGGGUCAAGUCCCGCAACGAGCGCAACCCCCGCCGUCAGUUAUACUUUUCUGACGGGACCGCUGGGAUAAACCCAGAGGAAGGUGGGGAUGACGUCAAGUCAGCAUGGCCCUUACGUCCUGGGCUACACACACGCUACAAUGGCCGGUACAAUGGGUUGCCAAGGCGCGAGCCGGAGCUAAUCCCCCAAAGCCGGCCCCAGUUCAGAUUGCAGGCUGCAACUCGCCUGCAUGAAGGCGGAGUCGCUAGUAACCGUAGGUCAGCACACUACGGUGAGUACGAUCCCGGGUCUUGUACACACGC
rnacentral:rRNA from 1 species